rnacentral:rRNA from 1 species
UACGAAGGGGGCUAGCGUUGUUCGGAAUCGAUACGUGGGCGUAAAGCGCAUCGUAGGCGGAUGUUGCCAGUCAGGGUGAAAUCCGGAGCUCAACUCCGGAACUGCCUCUGAUACAGUCACGGUCGUUGAGUUCGAGAGAGGUGGGUGGAAAUUCCUAGUGUAGAGGUGAAAUUCGUAGAUAUUAGGAAGAACACCGGUGGCGAAGGCGGCCCAACUGCU